CGUUAGUUGACGUGAACUUCCAAGAUAGUUAAAGUGUAUCCAUUCCUGGUUAGAAAUCAAGGAUCACCUUAUCGCUUCCUCACCACUGUUACUUCUACUUCCUGGAGUUGUAUUUCGAGGUAGAGAACCUGAGGUGUUGAUAAAAUGGUGGGUGCUGAAAUAUCCCAUCUUUCAAGCUCCAUUUUUUUUUAAGAAGAAAGGAAAAACUAUGAAGCGAACAUAUUAAACUCGAGCUAUUUCC